CUGGUUGAUCCUGCCAGUAGUCAUAUGCUUGUCUCAAAGACUAAGCCAUGCAUGUCUAAGUAUAAAUGGUAUACAGUGAAACUGCGAAUGGCUCAUUAAAACAGUUAUAGUUUAUUUGGUAAUCGAAUUUACAUGGAUAACCGUGGUAAUUCUAGAGCUAAUACAUGCUGUAAGCCCGACUUUUCGGAAGGGCCGUAUUUAUUAGAUAACAGACCAAUGCCCCCCCGGGCUUUGUGGUGACUCAUAGUAACUAAUCGGAUCGCAUGGGCCUGUCCCGCGACAAACCAUUCAAGUUUCUGCCCCAUCAGCUUUCGAUGGUAGUGUAUUGGACUACCAUGGCUUUUACGGGUAACGGAGGAUUAGGGUUCGAUUCCGGAGAGGGAGCCUGAGAAACGGCUACCACAUCUAAGGAAGGCAGCAGGCGCGUAAAUUACCCAAUCCUAAUUCAGGGAGGUAGUGACAAGAAAUAAUGGGUCGGAACUAACGUUCCGGGACCGCAAUGAGAUGAAUUUACACCCCUUUUCGAGGAUCAAUUGGAGGGCAAGUCUGGU
rnacentral:rRNA from 1 species